rnacentral:rRNA from 1 species
UACGGGGGGGGUAAGCGUUGUUCGGAAUUACUGGGCGUAAAGGGCUCGUAGGCGGCCAACUAAGUCAGACGUGAAAUCCCUCAGCUUAACUGGGGAACUGCGUCUGAUACUGGAUGGCUUGGAUUCGGGAGAGGAAUGCGGAAUUCCCAGUGUAGCGGUGAAAUGCGUAGAUAUUGGGAGGAACACCAGUGGCGAAGGCGGCUACCUGGACCGGUUCUGACGCUGAGGCGCGAAAGCGUGGGUAGCAAACAGG